GACGAACGCUGGCGGCAGGCCUAACACAUGCAAGUCGAGCGGAGCGGCGGACGGGUGAGUAAUACCUAGGAAUCUGCCUGGUAGUGGGGGAUAACGUUCGGAAACGGCCGCUAAUACCGCCUACUAUCCGUUGCGCCUCGGUGGGAUUAGCUAGUUGGUGAGGUAAUGGCUCACCACGGCUACGAUCCGUAACUGGUCUUAGAGGAUGAUCAGUCACACGGGAACUGCGACACGGUCCAGACGCCUACGGGAGGCAGCAGUGGGGAAUAUUGGACAAUGGGCGAAAGCCUGAUACAGCCAUGCCGCGUGUGUGAAGAAGGUCUUCGGAUUGUAAAGCACUUUAAGUUGGGAGGCGUUACCGACAGAAUAAGCACCGGCUAACUCUGUGCCAGCAGCCGCGGUAAUAC
rnacentral:rRNA from 1 species